CAAUAGCGUAUAUUAAAGUUGUUGCAGUUAAAAAGCUCGUAGUUGGAUUUCGGGGCGGCCCGGCCGGUCCGCCGCGAGGCGAGCACUGGUCGGGCGCCCUUCCUCUCGAAGGCUUCGACUGCUCUUGAUUGCGGUGGUCGAGGAGUUCGGGACGUUUACUUUGAAAAAAUUAGAGUGUUCAAGGCAGGCCGUCGCCUGAAUACAUUAGCAUGGAAUAAUGGAAGAGGACCUCGGUCCUAUUUUGUUGGUUUCCAGGGCCGAAGUAAUGAUUAAGAGGGACAGUUGGGGGCAUUCGUAUUCAAUUGUCAGAGGUGAAAUUCUCGGAUUUAUGGAAGACGAACAAGUGCGAAAGCAUUUGCCAAGGAUGUUUUCAUUAA
rnacentral:rRNA from 1 species